UAAAGGUUUCAAAUUGUAGAAUCAUAGAAUCAUAGAAUAUCCCGAGUUGGAAGGGACCCAUAAGGAUCAUCAAGUCCAACUCCUCCCACUGCACAGGUCUACAUAAAAGUUUAGACCAUGUGGCUAAGUGCACAGUCCGAUCGUUUCUUAAAUUCAGACAGGCUUGGUACAGUGACUACUUCACUGAGGAGCCUGUUCCAGUGUGUGGCCACCCUCUUGGUGAAGAACCUCUUCCUGAUGUCCAGCCUAAACUUCCCGUGCCUCAGCGUUACAUCAUUCCCACAGGUCUGAUCACUGCUGAUUACAAAGAAUAGGUCACCUGUCUCUCCACUCCCCCUCACAAGGAAGUUGUAGACUGUGAUUAGAACUGCACACAAUACUCAAGGUGAGGCCGCACCAGUGCGGAG